rnacentral:lncRNA from 1 species
CUGAACCGCGCCCCGUCUCCUUUCUCAUUGGCGCUCGCAGCGGAUUCCUCGCCUUUGCGUCCCGCCCCCUUCCUGCUCCCGGCUUCCUGUGGCGUCUUCCGGAUAGCCCCACACCCCCGGCGCGGGAGAGGCUCGUGGAGGGAGAUGAUUGGAGGACCAAGACCCCCUUUCCUGAAUGGCGACUGGAACCCAGACCUUUCAGAACUACUUCUUCUGUGAUGUCUGUUCAGAUGGUGGACUUCCACGAAUGGGAAACAAGCUGCCUUUGCACCUGAACGACCGAGGAACCUGCUGCCAGCGCUCAGAAAGACUUGAACUUUGUUCUGCAAAGAUAGCUGGCAUCUUGGCUGCGGAGGAUUCACGCUCUUGCUCGACAGCGGAAAUAAAUUCUCCUGAAGGAAGUGGGCAGAGAAAUAUGCGGAUGCCGAGCUGCUGGCUGUAAAUCCAGGUGGCUGGCAACCUGAGCGCAGGGCUGGGCGCCAGCUGCGGUGGCAUUGCCCCCGGCACAGCGCUGCCAAGAUGCGCCUGGGAGGAAGAAAAGCCAGGAGAGCCCAAAGAAACCCCYGGAGCUGGCCUGUGGAAGGGCCUCCCUGGGAGCAGGGUCCCGGCUCRCGGCUCACGUGGGCUGCAAAUCCGCCCCAGAUCUGGGGACUCGUGGUCUGCAAACAAGCCAGGGCUGAUCAGCGAUCUCUCCCGCAGCAACGGGACCUGUCGGCAGCUGAAGUCCCCUCGGCUUUCGGUGCGUUUCGGUGCCUGUGAAAGCUUUCCCGUAGCGCAGGAUAAACGUUUUUCAGCGUAGCCUCCCRCACCCAAGGAACCCAGGCCCGCAGGGAAAUACGUCCUGAUGGAACAGGAGCGUUUGCCAGAACUGAAGACUUUCCAUGAGUCUCUCCUGUCCUUGCCRCAGUGACCCAGGACAGCGCUGGGUCCCCAGAACGGCGCCGGUCCYUCCUGCGAGCGCGGGGCAGCCACGAGUGGCACCGAGCUGGUGUGGCCGGGGCACGAGGCUGUUUCGCAGGGGGGCACCGGCCGAGCUGGCUGCAGCGGAGGACCCACGUGCAAGCGGGGAAGGGCAGGCCUGACGCGCAGGGGAGCGGGGGGGUCUGGAGGAGAAAC